rnacentral:rRNA from 1 species
GAUGAACGCUGGCGGCGUGCCUAAUACAUGCAAGUCGAGCGAACAGAUGAGGAGCUUGCUCCUCUGACGUUAGCGGCGGACGGGUGAGUAACACGUGGAUAACCUACCUAUAAGACUGGGAUAACUUCGGGAAACCGGAGCUAAUACCGGAUAAUAUAUUGAACCGCAUGGUUCAAUAGUGAAAGACGGUUUUGCUGUCACUUAUAGAUGGAUCCGCGCCGCAUUAGCUAGUUGGUAAGGUAACGGCUUACCAAGGCAACGAUGCGUAGCCGACCUGAGAGGGUGAUCGGCCACACUGGAACUGAGACACGGUCCAGACUCCUACGGGAGGCAGCAGUAGGGAAUAUUCCGCAAUGGGCGAAAGCUUGACGGAGCAACGCCGCGUGAGUGAUGAAGGUCUUCGGAUCGUAAAACUCUGUUAUUAGGGAAGAACAAAUGUGUAAGUAACUAUGCACGUCUUGACGGUACCUAAUCAGAAAGCAACGGCUAACUACGUG